rnacentral:tRNA from 1 species
GACGAGGUGGCCGAGUGGUGAAGGACUGCUAAUCCAAUAUGCUCUGCACUCAUGGGUUCGAAUCCCAUCCUCGUCG